rnacentral:rRNA from 1 species
GACGAACGCUGGCGGCGUGCUUAACACAUGCAAGUCGAACGGAAAGGCCCUGCUUUUGUGGGGUGCUCGAGUGGCGAACGGGUGAGUAACACGUGAGUAACCUGCCCUUGACUGUGUGAUAACUUCAGGAAACUGGGGCUAAUACCGGAUAGGAGCUCCUGCUGCAUGGUGGGGGUUGGAAAGUUUCGGCGGUUGGGGAUGGACUCGCGGCUUAUCAGCUUGUUGGUGGGGUAGUGGCUUACCAAGGCUUUGACGGGUAGCCGGCCUGAGAGGGUGACCGGCCACAUUGGGACUGAGAUACGGACCAGACUCCUACGGGAGGCAGCAGUGGGGAAUAUUGCACAAUGGGCGGAAGCCUGAUGCAGCAACGCCGCGUGCGGGAUGCCGGCCUUCGGGUUGUAAACAGCUUUCGACGGUGACGAAGCGUGAGUGACGGUAAUGGGUAAAGAAGCAACGGCUAACUACGUG